GAACCGUUCGCCCCGUGAUAUUGUGAUAUUGGCUGCUAACUUGGAUGCUGUAGGAAGGAUUGAACAAAAAUUUAGAGCAGCCUUCCCCAACUUGGUGCUCCCCAGAUGUUUUGGGGACUACAGCUCUCAUCAGUCGAUGGAAGCUGGUGUCCCCCAGACACUUUGGUCUUCAGGUUGAGGCAGGCUGUUUUAGAGCAGAGGUCUAUCACAGCUAUUAAGGAGCUGGUAAAGUAAACAGAAAUCCACUCUUGACAUAGAAGAAUGUUGGGAGAAUUUUUCCAGCUAUUGUUGGGAGAGCAAAAGAGGCAGCAGAUGGAUUAACAGAACUAGAUGAAACCAUCUCAGAACAAGUCAGAAGCAGCAAUGCAAGAACAAAAAAAGGACAAAUCCCUCUUCUCCAGAAGUUGUUCACAGCAUUUGGCCAUAAAUGAGUUUCUUUGUAUGCAUGGGUGAGAGAGACUGGAGCCAGUGUGAUCCAGUGGCUGGUAACUGUAAGCUGGACUUCAGUCUUGCAGUUCAAGUCCCAUCAUCCUUAAGUAGCCAAGUCACUACUGGAGAUGGGUGAGAAUUCUAUUAAAUUCAAAUUUGACACUGGAUUCCCAGUAAUUAUGGUAGGCUAACGUUAACUUCAAUUAUUAUAGUUGCAAGGCUGAGGCUGACACAGAUAGUGACUGCCUAAGGACAUCUAGUGAGUAAUGGAUGAGGCAAGAUUUUAACUGGGACUUCCGGACAGCUUGCACAAUUAUAGCCCAAUCCUACACCUGUCUGCUCAGAAAUAAGUUCCACUGAGCAAUACAAGAACCAGAGCUUGGAAGUAAUUACUUGUAAUUCAUUACUUUUUUGAGGAACGAGUGGGUAAUUCCUUUACAUUUUGAUUGUAAUAGAACUAGGAGUAAUUUUAUUACUUUUGUGGAGUAAUUGUAAUGUUUCCAGCAUUACUUUUGGGCAUUACUUGGGGGGAGGAGCAGGGGAAGUCUUCAGCUCCUCUGAUUUGUAGAUGAAAAUCAUGUGCCGCAAACUGGGCUUCUGUGCAGCAUUGCUCUUCCCUUGUGCUUUGUGGGUGGGUAGGAGGCAAACAGGGAGGAGGUGGAGUGUGAGACAGGGUGGAGUGGAGAAAACAAUUGUUUAAAAAAAUGGAUGGUGUUGGUGAAGAAUAGAGUGGAGGGAAAAAAGAGCCAGAGGGCAAGAACAUGGAUAAAGGAGGAGAAGGAGGCAGCAGCAGAAUGGAGAUAAAGAACUGUGGAGGUGAAAGAUGACGGGGGGUGUGGGUCGGUGGGUGGGUUUUGUGUGUGUGUGUUGGUUUGACAUGCAGAAGUCUGAGUAGUGGCCUCUGCCUCUCUCCCCUCUCCCUUACCAGCGGAGAGAUCACCAUUGCCCAGUGGAGAGACCGCCAUUGCUAUCUUAGGGAUAAAAAGAAUUAUUCUACUACCUCUGUGUGUGUGUUUGUUUUUAAUGUUGUUUUAGGCAACUUAGUGUGUAGCAGCCAAGGCCAGCACCUUGUAGGCGUUUUUUUUUAAGUAACUGAAAUAUAAUUGUAGUGAUUACUUUUGAGAAAAAGUAAUCAGUUAUUUUCAGAGCAAUUGUAAUUGUAACGGUAAUUACUACUUUUUUGGGCCACGUAAUUGUAACUGUUAUUUAUUACGUUUUAAAAGUAAUCUUCCAAGCUCUGACAAGAACAAAAAAGGACUAAUCCCUCUUAUCCAGAAGUUUUUCACAACAUUCAGUUCUCCACAUUUCUGUAGCAAUUUCUGAUACACUUUUAUACACUUCCAGCUUUGCUGGAUUGUUCGCAGAAUCUAUCUCCAGUCUUAUGCAUAGCUUCUAACUCUUGUAAAAUGAAGACGUCAGCUUUGAAGAAAACACAUUUAAUUGUUCUUUACUCUGAAUAAUUUGUUUACUUUACCUCUGGGGCCCACAGUCUCAAAUUAAACCUCUCCAAUAGACAAUCAGGUUCACUAGCAUAUUCAUGGUGUCAUGUUUUCCUCUUCCUUGCUCUGUCAAAAUUCCCACUGAAACCAUUCUGCCCUAAAGCACUGAUAUAGUUGCAUAUUAGUUUCCAGAAGCUAAUUCCUUUCUAAUUGUCAGCAUCAAUCUCUCUUGCCCACAGCAACGGGCCUCAGCUGUUAAAAAACCACAGCUGUUCUUUCUCCAUUGGGGCAUACACUCUGUUUCUCCCUUGAUGCUGACUUGCUGGUAGAGAUUAACAGACAAGGUUUAUUCACAAAAGCACCACCUAAGCUGUUUUCCAUUAUCUUCUGGGAGGCCUCUCUUGGGGGAGGUUACUUAUUUUGAUCUGAUUUCAUCAAGUUUGCUUGUUUUAUCAAAAGCUUAGAAGUUAAAUUAGCAGCUUUUUUUAAACAAGACGACAAGGUGUGUACUGCAAUGCUGCACGUCAGACAAAUACACACCAUACAUUUAAGCAUAUUUUACAGCAUGUCCCACACACGCACAAAAUGAAGCCUAGGAACUGUAGUUUGAUGUAGGGUGCUGGGAAUUGCAGCUCUGAGGGUCAACUACAGUUCCCAGGGGUUUGUUAUUUAAAUAUGCUUUAAAUUGUUAACUUGUAACUGCUAAGUUUGCCAGCUUUUGUUAUCAGCUUCUGCCCUGUGCCUUUUACAAGCAGCUUCACGUGCAGACAAACACCUUUUCCUUUUCAAAAAAAUAGCCAUGUAUGCAGCAUAAAUGUAGAUGUACUGCCUUCCAGUCGAUUCUGACUUAUGGCGACCCUAUGAAGAGGGUUUUCAUAAGGCCAAGAGGCAGUGACUGGCCCAAGGUCACCCAGUGAGCUUCAUGGCUAUGUGGGGAUUCAAACCCUGGUCUCCCAGGUCGUAGUCCAACACCUUACCACACUGGCUCUCAUAUGCAACACAGCAAAAGUCAAUCAUACUUCAUUUAUUUAUUUAUUAUUUGAUUUAUAUCCCUCUCUUCCUCCCAGCAGGAGCCCAUAUGUUCUUCUUCAUAAGGACAUAAGAAGAGCCCUUCUGGAUCAGACCAGUGGCUCAUCUAUUCCAGUAUCUAAUUGGACUCUUCUCACAGUGGCUGAAAAAAAGCUACUAGAAAGCCCAUAUGCAGGCCAUGCUAUAGCAUUCUCCCUCUCCUCAUCCCUAGCAAUGAGUAUUCAGAGACAUACUGCCACUGAUAUUGGAGGUAGCACAUACCCAUCAUGACUACAAGCCAUUGCAGUGGUCCUUUAGGGUGAAUGGGACACUACCCCACCAACCUCCGUCUGCCCCUACCUGCCUGCCUUCUUACUUACAAGAAGUCCAGUGGUGUCAGCUUCCUCCUCAGUCUCAUUGUUGCCCUUGUAGAACUCAGCAGGGAGGAGGAUGGGGGCAAAAUUAGCUGGCUCUUUGGCUUCGUCUCCACUUACUGUUUGGGCUUCCUGCAUUCUGCCCCACCAGUCCUAAUGGGCACCAACCACCACUGGGCCACUGACAGCCUUAUCCUCCAUAAAUUUGUCCCUAAAUACCUGAAGUAGCUAUGGUCAUAUUAUUAUAUCUAUGUAUUAUUGCCCAUUUGCUUGCUGUUUUACCAAGUUAAAAGAAGACAAGCCCCUGUCCCAAGGAGCUUGCAGCCAAACCUCCUGAUCCCUUAUAUCCUUGCCCAAUUGCUUUGGGGGUCUCUGUUCGUGUUCCCCAUGGUCCAGAGGCAUUGCUUGUAACUACCCAAAGCCAUGCAUUCAGUAUUGUGGACCCAAUCCUGUGGAGCCCCCUUCCAGCUGAGAUUAGACAUCCCUGCUGAGCUUCAGGUGCUUGACAAAGACUUUCCUAUUUCAGCAGGCAUUUUAAGAUAGCUUUUCUUGGAAGACAAUCUUACUCAGCCACGAGUGAUUGCCAAUGAAAAACAAUGAAUGAAAAUAAGAUGGUUUUCUGUGUUUCUAUAUAAAUACAUAAAAUAAAUUCAAUGUUUUUUAUGAACAGGCUAGGGAAGAUAGUAGCAGAGUGGAUGACGGGGAAAUAAUAUCCAUUCUGUCUUUACAGUAGCCCAGCAGCCCCAGUGAUUUUUAGCACAGGUCACAGCUCUGGGAGUAUCUCCUGAGUGGAGGAACUAAAGCCCAGGCCCAGCCUCUGCCCUCUGAGCAGCAGCAAAUGGUGACACACACACGCUCAAGUCAAGGUGCACAGUACUAAAGGCCAGUCAAGUCAUUUGAGCACCGGAGGCAGGAGAUCCAACAAGCACACCUCUCACUCUCUCUUAUGAAAAAUGCAACAGUGAGAAAUUAAAUUGCAACCAAUUUGCUGCCCUUUCGUGACACCCAAAACCAGUUGGCUGAGGCAAGCUUGGAAAAGUUACUUUUUUGAACUACAACUCCCAUCAGCCCCAGCCAGCAUGGCCACUGGAUUGGGCUGAUGGGCGUUGUAGUUCAAAAAAGUAACUUUUCCAAGCUCUGCAGUCAUUUCAUUCUACCUCAUGGGAGGGUUGGUCCUGUAAGGCUCCAAGUGGUAACAUAUGCAAAAGCAACAGUCAGCCUCCCCAGAGGGAAUUCUACUGCCUUUCAGUAUCAGGAAUGGCUAAAUGCUCCUAGUCAUCACUGCUGUAGGAACAAAAGCAAAAUUGCCAGGUCCCAGAGGAGUCUGACUGUAAACAGAAAUAGUCAAAGCAGUAAAUUGGAGACACAGCUGGCAACCUCCCAUGUAGCUAUUUAGGCCUCUCAGGAGCCCUUAAUGACUACUGUUAUUAUUUAUAACUGCUCUUCACUGAAUAUUUCAGUUCUAGAAUGGGGAGCAAUUAAAUAAAAUAAUAAAAAUGUACAGAAAAAAUAUAACAAUAUACAAAGAGUCCAUAAAAACAAGUGCAAUAAAUAACAUAAGCAAAUGAACAACUCCAUCAUAAAACAAAUAAGAUUAACCUGCCGUGAGGACAACACUGAGAGUUUUCAGUUGAACUAUACACCUGGAUAAAGAAAACAAAACAUCCAAACCGCUAAGACAAUUGAAUGUCCUUAGCACCAGUUACCACUCCAUGUCUCUCUCACAGAGAAGACCCACUCUGUGCCAACAGGCUCUCACGCUGUGACUUAUCAGCACCUUUACACCUAUCACCCCCACUCUCUGGCCCAUCCAGGCGCUCAUCCUGAGUAGCAUGAAUUGUUGCCCACAAGCAUCCAUACUCAAAACCUCCUGCCUCCUUCCCCACAGUAUCAACAGAGCAAAUAAAACAAACACGAGUUUCUCAUAGCACACUGAUAGCUUAUGGAGCACAGAUACAUUUUAUUGUUAUAUUUAUCAUGGAACGCAAGGUGGUGUGUGUGCAUAGGCCUCCCAAGUGGUCUCCCAUUGAGACCCAGCCCUCCUUAGCUGCAGUGUGCUUGCUAAAUCAUGUGCCCUCAGACCAUAACCUGGGACUUCCUGCAAUGGCAACCGUAUAUUUUUGUUAUCCUCUCCACUUCUGCUUUUCCAGUAUGCCUCUAUCUGUUCUGAUCACAACAAGGAAAGGACAUUUCACUUCCCUCUCCCAAGUUCCUUUUUCCUGAAAUACAGUCCUUCUAAAUGAGCCCGAGCCCACGCACUGGAAGAAAUUAGUCUUUUCUCAAAGUGUUGCCCAAUAGGCUGACUUGUGCACUCAGAAAAUUGAGGCCUAGUGAAUCAUUGAGGGCAAUGAAGUUGACGGUUGAGGGAACCAGUGACUCUAGGAAAGCUUACAUCAAUAAAGUCCCUAAUUCUUGUGAGGCAAGAAAUAACUAUAUGGCAAUACGUUCAAGGUAUUACUGUUAGUGUAUAAAGCCCUGAGCAUAGGGUUACCAUAUUCCAGUUCCUCAAAUAUGGACUGGCUAAUUUGCAUAUUAUGUAAAUCAUUUGCUAAUUACACAAAUUAAAUCUAUUAAUGGUUGCAUUGUCCAGUUGUUUUGUUUUUGUGCCUAGUGAUUAUCACCAAAAACUAAGGAAGGAUGUGAGGAAUCUUUCUUUAAAAGAAAAAAACUUAAAUUUUCAGCCUUAAAUGCCUAGACUCUAGUUUCCAACACUAUGGAAUAUUUAUUUAUUAAGAUGAUUUAUAUCCUGCCCUUCCAGUGUCAAAAACAGAGCUCAGGACAGCUUGCAAACAUAAUAAAAACAACAAAAAAUAUAAUCAAUAUAAAAACAUAAUAAAACACAAAACAGAAACAAACAUAGAACAAGUCAAGUCAGUAUAAAAUCCAGCAUAACACAGGAAGCUAGCAAAGCAUAAAUUAAAAGCAAUAUUAUGACCAAGAAGUUGUCUGUACCAACAAUUAGGAAAUGUGAAAUGAACCCUCCACUACAACUUGCAAUGCAGAUAGCAAUAAAGAUUUCAAUAUUAUCAUUUCAAUCAGUCAUCUUAUGUAAAAACAAUAGAAUCUGAACAUGUGAGGUGUCUUUAGUACACUGAUUCUCACAUACCAGACCAAGGAGAGGGAAACAGCCUUCUACGAUAAAGGCUGGAACGUGAUGGAGACUUGAGUUCUGGCACCUCUUUUAAAAAAAAUAAAAUUAAAAAAUGCAGUGAAUUCUAGAGACCUGGCAAGCUGUGCUAGCAUUAGACAGGGCAGCUGUUCUAUUCUUAUAGGUCUUAAAGGGGGGAAAGCCAUUCCUAUUGGUCUUAAGUGGGGGGGAGUACUUUUUAGCCUUUUCUGAAUUGCUGAACAGAGGCUCUGCUGGGCAACAGGGUGAGCAAGGCUGCAUUCCAAUGCAACUUUAUUUGGCAGUAAGCACCAUUGAACAGGGUGGGGGCAGGGUUGAAAAAUGCAAAUGCUAAUACUGCAGUUUUUUCUACAGAGAAAAAAUCUCUCAAGAAAUUUUAUAUCUUGUAUUUGUUCAGGGGAAGAAGCCUUUGGUGGAUUCAUACCUUUUAUUUCAUCCUCCAUGAUGGCAGGCAGACCCUCCCAUUGCAUUCAACACUUAAAACAUAUACUUUGAGAUACAGAGGCAAUUACAAUGAAAGCUGCUUCUCCUUGCUGGCUCAAUCAGAAAGUCUUUCAAUAAGGGGUGGAGCUGCAUGUGUUGAUCAACCGCACAUGUGCAGUUUUCUAAGUUGCCUAGAUUCUGCAUAUGCAGCAGGUAGACUAAAAUUCUUGAUUUUUCCAGAACAGCUGUGGUGUUCCUCAUUGGCUAAGAAAAAUGGAAAGUGGGAAUAGACUGAUUUCUCACAAAAUGGGCAGAAAACUGCCUCCACAUUCUGCCUUGUAUCUCUGGAUCCACAAGGGCUAGAGACUUGCUUUUUUUAAAAAAAAAAAAAGGAAAGCUGGGAAUCCGGGCCACCAAAUUGGCUAAGGAUGCACGGAGUAGCAUGGCUAGAAUCCAAGUAAAACCCAGCUAACCAGGCGAUAUGGCAACCCUCCUAUCUAAGUAGCCUAGGAAUGUGUCAUCUGAAGGAUUGCCUUGUCUCUUAUGCACAAGCCAGAUCACUGCAAUCAUCUCAAGAACCUCUCCUGACUAUCCAACAGUGAUAUCAUAUUCAUUUUAUUUCUAUACAAACUAAGGCUUUUAUUAUUUAAUUAUUAUGUAUUUUAAAAAGUUAUGUCCCAAUUUUCACCUCAUCUGGGUCUCACCACAGCUUUUAGCAUAAUGGCACCAGUACUUAGGAUCACCAUUCCUGUUGAAAUCAGACAGGCACCUACAAUUCUGAUAUAAGACAUGUACCUACAAUGUUGAAAACAUUUCCGUUUCACCAAGCAUUUUGAGAGUCUUGGUCAUUUGUUCUGUAUUUUGCAAUGUCAUAAUUUUGUGAUGUUUUAAUGAUCCUACUGUACAGCACUGUGAUUGUUCUCUUCGCCCAGGCAUUUUAGC